AUGGGCAGGAAAUGAACAUGCAGAGAGAGCCAUUGCAAAUAGAGAACCAACGGGAGCAAGCAAGCAAUAAAUGAGCUUAAAAACAAUUCCAACUCGUGAAUAGAGAUAAAAAGAGGAGGAAGAGGAAGAAGAAGAAGAACCCAGAAACAAAAACACAGUGGAGAUUGUGAUUAUGGAUCCAAAUGCUCCACUACUGAGGUGAUGAUACAAUAAUAAAAUGAGCUUGUGGCUAACAAUGAAGAUGCAGGGAGGUUUGUAGGAGCGGGACCAAGCACCAAGAUUCCUAUACCAGUGGGAAGGGA
rnacentral:misc_RNA from 1 species